CCUACGGGUGGCAGCAGUGAGGAAUAUUGGUCAAUGGACGCAAGUCUGAACCAGCCAUGCCGCGUGCAGGAUGACGGCUCUAUGAGUUGUAAACUGCUUUUGUACGAGGGUAAACGCAGAUACGCGUAUCUGUCUGAAAGUAUCUUACGAAUAAGGAUCGGCUAACUCCGUGCCAGCAGCCGCGGUAAUACGGAGGAUUCAAGCGUUAUCCGGAUUUAUUGGGUUUAAAGGGGGCGUAGGCGGUCGGAUAAGUUAGAGGUGAAAGCACGAGGCUCAACUUCGGAAGUGCCUCUGAUACUGUUCGGCUAGCGAGUUGUUGCUGUAGUCGGCAUGUUUGGUGUAGCGG
rnacentral:rRNA from 1 species